ensembl:lncRNA
GUUUUCAAUAUCUGUCGGAUUUUAUUUAGAAAAAUGUAGAAAAUGCACACGAUCCAAAGGUGUUUAUUCAAGUUUCUCCACUGCAGCACUAUUUGGUAUAACGAAAUACUGGAAACAAUUUAAAUAUAUAUUAAUAGAAGUCUGGAGUCUAAAUAAAAUAUAGGAUUUUAUGCAACCAUAAAAAAUGAAGUACGUCUGUAAGUACUGACACAGAAACAUCUUAAAAAUACAUUACUAGCAAAAAAGUCAAGCCACUGAAGAAUAUUUUUCAUAUGACCCAAUUUUUGUAAAAAAAAAUUAAGGAAAUAUGCAUAUAUAAUAACGUGUCUAUAUACAAGAUUGCAUGUGCUAGAAAAUAUCUGAAGAGAUUUCAAACUGCAGAGGAAUAGCAAGGUCUAAGGGAAGGAGAAAAAAUAUUUGUUUACCUUUUAAUCGUUAUCCUUCAGUACAAUUUACAUAUUUUUAUUUAUCUACAACCAAUAAGUGCUAAUUUCAUACUGAACUUUUCUAAACACAAGAAAAAUAAAAUGUGACGGGUAAGCCUGGCUUUUGAGGUAGGUUGGAGGUAUGGUUUUACUUACAAAUGAGAGUAACGAAGGAGCCGACCUAGUCCUAGAGUCAUUCAGGAGAGGAGAGGCAGAUGUGAAAAAAAAAAAAAAAAGGAUGUGAAGAGCAGGUCAAGGAAUCAGCCCUAUCCCAAGUUGCUUAUAAAACGGCAACGUACAAUCAAAAUAACUUCAUUGUUUCCCUGUUGACACAUCACUUGCAAAGGUGUGUGUGUGUGUGUUUUAUUGCAAUGGAAAAGAGAACAAAAAUGUUUUCAUUUAAAAAGAAGCAGGAAUAUUCAGUAACUGGAGGAGUUGUGGCCACUGAUAUUAACAAUAGGUAACUAAAGAAAGAAAUCAGUUAGAAAUGGUUUUCAAAUAGCUAAGAUCAUAAGAAAUUAAGUUUUUUCAUUAAAAAUAAAUUUGAAAUAACCAUACAUGUGCUUUUUUUCCUUGCCGAAAAUUAUGUAAAUUCAAAUUUAAAAUGUACUUUAAUAUAUAAGGAGCUAAUAGCAUCUCGAUUUUUCAUAAAGAUUUUCCUUUUGAACUUUGAAAAUGCUGUUUCAUUGCUCAAUGUUUCAAAAUGAGUUAUAGAAAUUAUUUUUAGUUUAUUUCCAAAUGAUCAAACAUAAAAAGUGCAAUCCAAAAAUCGAACUUGGAGUCUUAUGUUAGAAUUUGACCAUAUUUCAAUUUAUGGAAACCAGGAAAAACAUAUAAAAUUUUUAAUGAAAAUACAAAAAAGUUAAAAUACAGGCCAUUCAUUUUACCAGAAGUGCUUUUACUCUUGAGAAAUACUAAUUGUUAUUUUUCCUAAUGCAGGUAGCAGAUUGUUGCUUUGAACUUGAGAAUUAAACAUUUGAUUUUGCUACUGUGUAACCAAAACAGUUGCCCAGUAACAAAAUUUAUCUUAAAUAUCUGGGAACACUGUAACAGAAAAUGACAGACUAACAGGUAAAUAUAUUGAUCAUAUCCAUGGCAAAUAAAAACGACAAUAACAACAACCCUCCCCCCAAAAUUUGAUGAUGUGUUCUCC